rnacentral:rRNA from 1 species
UACGUAGGGGGCAAGCGUUGUCCGGAUUUAUUGGGCGUAAAGAGCGUGUAGGCGGCCAGACAAGUCUGCUGUGAAAACUCGAGGCUCAACCUCGAGCUGUCGGUGGAAACUGUCUGGCUAGAGUCCGGAAGAGGAGAGUGGAAUUCCUGGUGUAGCGGCGAAAUGCGCAGAUAUCAGGAAGAACACCUAUGGCGAAGGCAGCUCUCUGGGACGGUACUGACGCUGAGACGCGAAAGCGUGGGGAGCAAACAGG